UACGUAGGGGGCGAGCGUUGUCCGGAUUUAUUGGGCGUAAAGAGCGUGUAGGCGGCCAGGUAGGUCUGCUGUGAAAACUCGAGGCUCAACCUCGAGACGUCGGCGGAAACCAUCUGGCUAGAGUCCGGAAGAGGAGAGUGGAAUUCCUGGUGUAGCGGUGAAAUGCGCAGAUAUCAGGAAGAACACCCGUGGCGAAGGCGGCUCUCUGGGCCUGUACUGACGCUGAGGAGCGAAAGCGUGGGGAGCGAACAGG
rnacentral:rRNA from 1 species